rnacentral:rRNA from 1 species
UUGAUCCUUGGCUCAGAUUGAACGCUGGCGGCAGGCUUAACCCCUUUUAGGGAGCGGAAACAGAUCUAGCUUGCUAGAUGCUGACGAGCGGCGGACGGGUGAGUAACGCGUAGAUAGCUGCCCAGUAGUGGGGGAUAGCCCGGGGAAACCCGGAUUAAUACCGCAUAUACUCUACGGAGGAAAGGGGGCUUCGGCUCCCGCUAUUGGAUGUGUCUGCGUGGGAUUAGCUAGUUGGUGGGGUAACGGCUCACCAAGGCGACGAUCUCUAGCUGGUCUGAGAGGAUGAUCAGCCACACUGGGACUGAGACACGGCCCAGACUCCUACGGGAGGCAGCAGUGGGGAAUAUUGCACAAUGGGCGGAAGCCUGAUGCAGCCAUGCCGCGUGUGUGAAGAAGGCUUUCGGGUUGUAAAGCACUUUCAGUAGGGAGGAAGUCUGAGUAGUUAAUACCUGCUCAGAUUGACGUUACCUACAGAAGAAGCACCGGCUAACUCAGUGCCAGCAGCCGCGGUAAUACUGAGGGUGCGAGCGUUAAUCGGAAUUACUGGGCGUAAAGCGCGCGUAGGGGGCUUGUUAAGCCAGAUGUGAUAGCCCCGGGCUCAACCUGGGAACUGCUUUUGGAACUGACUCGCUAGAGUACAGUAGAGGGGGGUGGAAUUUCCAGUGUAGGCGGUGAAAAUGCGUAGAGAUGGGAAGGAAACAUCAGUGGGCGAAGGCGGCCCCCUGGAAUGAAUACUGACGUGGAGGUGCGAAAGCGUGGGGAGCAAACAGGGAUUAGAUACCUGGGUAGUCCACGCCGUAAACGAUGUCUACUAGCGUUUGGGGAAACUUGAUUUCUUAGUGCCGCAGCUAACGCACUAAGUAGACCGCCUGGGGAGUACGGCCGCAAGGUUAAAACUCAAAUGAAUUGACGGGGGCCCGCACAAGCGGUGGAGCAUGUGGUUUAAUUCGAUGCAACGCGAAGAACCUUACCUGGUCUUGACAUCCUGCGAACUUUCUAGAGAUAGAUUGGUGCCUUCGGGAACGCAGUGACAGGUGCUGCAUGGCUGUCGUCAGCUCGUGUUGUGAAAUGUUGGGUUAGGUCCCGUAACGAGCGCAACCCUUAUCCUUAUUUGCCAGCACUUCGGGUGGGAACUCUAAGGAGACUGCCGGUGACAAACCGGAGGAAGGUGGGACGACGUCAAGUCAUCAUGGCCCUUACGACCAGGGCUACACACGUGCUACAAUGGUAAGUACAAAGGGAUGCCAAGCCGCGAGGUGGAGCUAAUCCCAUAAAGCUUAUCGUAGUCCGGAUUGGAGUCUGCAACUCGACUCCAUGAAGUCGGAAUCGCUAGUAAUCGUGGAUCAGAAUGCCACGGUGAAUACGUUCCCGGGCCUUGUACACACCGCCCGUCACACCAUGGGAGUGGAUUGCACCAGAAGUAGUUAGUCUAACCUUCGGGGGGACAAUGGACACGGUGUGGUUCAUGACUGGGGUGAAGUCGUAACAAGGUA